GUACACACAAAAAGGGACUGGCUAGUCAAACAAAGAGGCUGGGAUGGGUUUGUGGAGUUCUUCCACGUAGAGGAUCUAGAAGGCGGCAUCAGAAAUGUGCUGCUGGCUUUUGCAGGUGUUGCUGGAGUAGGAGCUGGUUUGGCAUAUCUAAUAAGAUAGCCUUGUAAGUGCAAUAGUUGACUGUUAAACAACCCCAGGCGCCAAAACAUUAUACUUCUGUGAAAGCAAAGUAUUUAUGAAGCUGGUGGGCUUGAAGCUGUCCAAGCAGCAACUUCAAAGAGGCCAGAAAGCAAGAACAUGAUGGCUGCCAGUCAUGGGAGAAGAAGUCCCCUUCAAGAGCCACAGUGUGAAAGAAGCAAAGUGCAGUUUCAGCAACAAACUGUGAGACUGUGAAAGACUUCGAGAUGUAGCGAAGGUGAUAGGGUGGAAAGACUUGAUUUCUUUGUGUAAAGCCAGAGGAGUGGCCAGUAGCCAGCUAGUCAUAAAAGUCAUUAAAUAUACCCACCAAGUCAUCAAUUGUCUCCUGUCAAAGAAGCACUAACAAUGCUAGUGACUUGUGCAUAAAGUGGAUUUAAGCUACAAGGAGUUGAACUCUGACCACACGCCUCAGUGCGGUGGAGCAGCAUGUGAAGGGCAGCUUUUCCUCUGUAAUUCACUUCCCCAGUGUACUUCUUGAGUAGACCAACAAUAGUUAGAAAUAUGGAAUAGUCUCAGUUUUUAAAACAAAAGUAACUUGUAUUUGUCUGUAAAAAUUGUAUAUAUUUUUACAGAAAGUAUUUGGACAAAGUAUAUCAAAUUAACAGUAGUUUUUUUCAUACCCUUUUGAAGUUUGCAACUUCUGUAGUUAGCAAUCUAUUUCUUACAGCUUUUCUAUUCAGAGCUUUGUCCUGGUCAGUUCUAGAAUGUAUACAGAACUAACUAAAGUUAUGUGUAUGCAGCCUGGUUGUACUGGAACAAAUCUGAUUCAUAACUAUGCAGGGUUUAAUUUUCCAGUCUGAUUUUGGUAAAUAUUCCUUAUAUGGCUUCUGGGGGAGGGUGGGCUGAUAUCUUAAAAAUAGUGGGCUCUGAUUAGACAACUUAUGAGUUCUUAAAUCUGACCUCGUUUAACUUAUACAAUUUAAAACUGAAUUCAUGAGCUCAUCUUUAAAGCUUUCACUGAACAAUUUUCAGCUGUUCCAAGUGAGCAUUGUGUGUGAGAGACAUUUGAUUCCUUGUUUUAAUUUGUAAAGUGAUGGCUUGCAAAAGCAGGCCAGGGUCUAAUGGUGCUAAUUAAUACUGGGCUUGCUUGUUAAACACAGGUUUAAGCCUAGUAUGCAAAUAAAAGAAAUACUUAACAAGUUUCUUUUCUAUUAAUGAUUACCAAGCUUUGUUUUGAAAUGUGCAUUGGCAUCUCUGGGUCUGAGACCAAAUCUGAAUUUACUGUAUUUUCUGUCCUUUGAAGUACGUGCUGCUAGUUCUGCUCCCUCUGCGGAUACUUAGAUCCAGUUCUACAUCAUUGCUCGGCCUUCUUUUGAACUCUUUAUCUGCCCUUUUAAUGUUCAGCACUAUGCACCCCUACUGGGAACCUAAUUAGCCCACCCCACCCUCCCAGUUAACAGCCCUUCAUCUAUCAUGGGUUUUGUCCCUCGGGAGAUAGGGAUACCAUGGGUGUUGUGACAUAACAGUCAUGGGAUGGGAGGAACUCCUUCCCUGGUAUCUUGCAGUUGCUUUAGCCUAUCUUUAGGAAGAAUUCAAAAAUCCUGUUAGAAAUUUUCAGAGAGGUAACGUGGCUUUCUAAAAUAUUUGCAUUUGAAUAUGCUCACUUAAAUUUCUGUUAAGAGGUGGGCUGUGUUAAACCUGAAAGUUAUUUAGAAGCUGUUGGAAAACUGCAGAAAGCUGCUGUGUUGAAGCUAGAGUCAUUUGAAAGCUUCAGUCUCCAUGGGACCUUUAGUCUGCACACCAGAUAAAAAUAGGCAUAAAGUGACUAAGAAUGUAGCAGGGAAAAAUGCCCUGCCUGUCCUCGGAGCCAUAAAGUCAUCUUGCUAGAGCUAUUUUACCUAUGUAUUUAUCCUUGUUCACAGGCCACUUAUUUAUAUCAUGUCUUCUCUUAACCUAAAAGCACUUUAUGUAGUUUUUAACCUUACAAUCUGGUUAAGGUGACUAAAAAAACCUUCCCGUACCUGUUGUGAAAAUGAGUGUGAAUUAAUUGGUGUGCAGGAGCCUGGCUUCGUGAAGGCUGAAGUGUAAGAGGAAUCUCAGUGGAUGGUUUGGGUCCAGGGCAGUGAGGGUUUGCAGAGCCCAAGAGAUUGGGGAAAGGGAUGUGUGGGGGAAGGGUGGGGGAUUACAGUUGAUUUACUGGAAGAAGAGGCACGUGGUCUUGUAAAGUGCUGACUGGUUGUGUAGUUCAGAGAGAAUCUUCCAAAAUGGGAAGGGAGGGGCUGCUUGGAUAGUGCUCAGUGACUUCUGUUUGUCUUAUGCUUCUCUCAGGGAAAAAAUACGCAGUCCUCCAGAGGUGGUGGGAUACAUUUAAUUGGGAAGGGUGAACACCUUGGUUUCACAGCUAUGCCAGGAAAGAGUAGGACCAACGACAAAUUAAUGAGCUGUAAAAUGUAGUGUCUUUCCCUAACUUCCUGUUCUUCCUGAGGGGAAAAAAAAAUAAAUCUUUUCAAAUUAA